AUGGCUGAAUCAGUGAUUCUUUUAGCUGUGGCAAAGAUUGGUGCUGCUCUGGGGAAUGAAGCAAUCAACCAGGCUAGUUCACAAUUCAAAAAGUUCAUUACGCAGCUAACAGAGCUUCAAGGCAGCAUGGGUCGCAUAAGAAGAGAACUGAGGCUAAUACAUGAAUUUCUUUGCUGAAUGGAUGUAAGGAAUCGCAAGAAUCCAACAUAUGAAAUCUGGGUGGAGGAGGUGAGAAUGCUUGCAUAUGGGAUUGAGGAUAUUGCGGAUGAGUAUUUGCAUAUUGUCUGUCAGAAACAUCAUGGUGGAUGGAGAAUCUAUCUGAAAGGAUUCAAGCAUCCAAAUGUCUUGCUUUCUUUAAAUAGGAGAGCUUCAUUGGUUAAGGAAGCA
rnacentral:rRNA from 1 species